GGUAUCUAGGGACAAGAUUCGAUAUCUGGCCUGCCCAAUGAUCUAGGUUGAAUGGCCGCAGUAUCUUGACUGUGCAAAGGUAGCAUAAUCAAUUGUCUACUAAUUGUAGGCUUGAAUGAAAGGUUGGACUUGGUUGUGCUUUUUUAGGGAUUAGGAUGAAUUUAGGAUUUUUGUAAAAAUGCAGAAAUGACUUUGUGAGACGAGAAGACCCUGUUGAGCUUGAUAUGAAAGUGUGCAGUGAGGAAGAGAAGUUCAGAGUGGGCAGGGUAUUUUACUGGGGCGGUGAAGCUGCUAAAAACGUGGGUGUCUGAUCCACUAUAGGUGAUCUAGGGAGAAAGUUACUGCAGGGAUAACAGCGUAAUACUAUUUGAUAGGUCUUAUUGACAAUAGUGUUUGUGACCUCGAUGUUGGUUUAAGAAGUCUAUGCGGAAGUAUAAGGUCUAACAGAUGGUUUGUUCAACCAUUAAAAUUUUAUG
rnacentral:rRNA from 1 species